CCUACGGGAGGCAGCAGUAAGGAAUAUUGGUCAAUGGACGCAAGUCUGAACCAGCCAUGCCGCGUGGAGGAUGAAGGCCCUCUGGGUUGUAAACUUCUUUUAUCUGGGACGAAAAAAGGUUUUUCUAAAUCGUCUGACGGUACCAGAUGAAUAAGCACCGGCUAACUCCGUGCCAGCAGCCGCGGUAAUACGGAGGGUGCAAGCGUUAUCCGGAUUCACUGGGUUUAAAGGGUGCGUAGGCGGGCAGGUAAGUCAGUGGUGAAAUCCUUGAGCUUAACUCGAGAACUGCCAUUGAUACUAUCUGUCUUGAAUAUUGUGGAGGUGAGCGGAAUAUGUCAUGUAGCGGUGAAAUGCUUAGAUAUGACAUAGAACACCCAUUGCGAAGGCAGCUCACUACGCAUAUAUUGACGCUGAUGCACGAAAGCGUGGGGAUCAAACAGGAUUAGAUACCCUGGUAGUCCACGCCCUAAACGAUGAUUACUCGACAUACGCGAUACACUGUGUGUGUCUGNGNGAGANAUAGUANACACNGAGAGAGNGNGAGAUAGAGACGAAGAAGUAGAGGNGNGAGAGNGCGAGGACGACGACGAGGGAGGAGG
rnacentral:rRNA from 1 species